rnacentral:tRNA from 1 species
AAGGGUUUAGUUAAUAAAUAACAUUAGUUUGUCAAACUAAAAUUAUCAUACUUUGAUAACUUUUA